rnacentral:rRNA from 1 species
UACGUAGGAGGCAAGCGUUGUCCGGAGUUACUGGGCGUAAAGCGCACGCAGGCGGUCGCAUCAGUCUGGGGUGACAGUUCCCGGCUUAACCGGAAAAGGACUCUGGAAACUGUGCGACUUGAGGGCUUCAGAGGGAUGUGGAAUUCCAGGUGGAGUGGUGAAAUGCGUAGAGAUCUGGAGGAACAUCAGUGGCGAAAGCGACUCCUGGUCCAGCAUCGACGUUCAGGCACGAAAGCGUGGGGAGCAAACAGG